rnacentral:lncRNA from 1 species
CUAGUGUAUUCUCAUGUUUGGUUUGCACGAGGAUUAGGUUUAAUGGGAGUAGGGGACUCGCUCGGAUUAAUGGCUUCGCUAUGCGAAGUACCCCAAACUCGGCCGGACUCGUAAGACCUUCACGAGAGAGAACCUUGCGCAUCCUGAGUCGUCACACAUCGCUCCUGCUUGCCCUGCUCCCUCAUCCUCGUCCACCUCACUCCCAUCUCUGCAUCCUGCUUGCCUGCAUCCUGCUCGCCCUCAUCUGCUCCUCUUGCCUGGUAAACUUCGAAUCUUAGAUUUAUUUCUUCGAUUUAUUUUGCAGAUCGUGAUAUUUAUGAUCUUUAUUUGAUUUAGUUGUUUUGGGUUUGAGAAAUUUUCAAUAAUAGACCUCUUCACUUGAACAAAUUAGGGUUUUGAUUUUUUGGGUCAAAUUCCAGAUUGAGAUUGGACAGUUUGGAAUCAGUUGCUGCCUAUUAGUGUUUGAGAUUCUUCCAUUUGGUUUUGUUUUCUCACUGGGGUUGUAGAUCGUGAUUCGUACUGGAUAAACUUCGAAUCAGUUGCUGAUCUUUAUUUGAUUUGGUUUUGUUUUCUCACUUGGGUUGUAGAUCGUGAUUCUUCAAUUCGGGUUUGCAUUUGUGGUGUCUGAAAAAAAAAAAAAAACUAUAUAUAUAGGGACUGUGAGAGCCAUUCAGAAUGGCAAUGGAAAAACAAAUUGAUAGAUUCCCCUGAAUAUAUGUUCAGAAUGGCAAUGGAAAAACAAAUUGAUAGCUUCCCCUGAAUAUAUAUAUAAAUAUAUAUUGACUUAUAUAAACCAAGAACUCCUGGAAAAAGUGUACUCAAUGAAGCCACAAUUCAAGUAGCCAUUUCUACUGUGGCUUUUUUAACAUUUACGAGCUCCAGUUGUGACAUUGCCCAAGAAAAAUGCCAUCCUACCCACAUGCCCAAAAGAGCUAUUUAGCUUUGUUGGUGUGUAGAAGAAGAAGCUCACAAGUGCUUUUGUAUUUACUCAUUCCUUGUUAGGCAGUGUUAGGCUGUUUUACACAUGGGACUGCGCUUGGAAACCAAAACAAACUGAUUGAAAUUAUCUUGCUUAGAGUUGAGUAUAAUUUCUUAGUGGCAAGUUGGCAAAAGAAGAGAAAAAAAUCAUAGCUGUUCAAUUUUCUAUCACAGUUGCAUUUUACUUUGAGAAAUUUACUUUUUAUUGUGCAGUUAAACAUCCUCCUUUUUCACUUCUAAAAUUAGUGAUGUAACUUUUGAUUAUCUCAAGUUAUUUAUUGAUUUACUAGGAGAUUUGUUGCCUUUUGCAGAAGGGGUUUUGUUUCUAGGCUGGAAAGGAAAAAGACACUGAAAACCCGUAUCUUUGCAUCAGAACUCAAGAAAGUGUUCGUCCAAAGGCUUUUAAGUGACAAAGGAAGUGGAUGAUUUUAUUAUUUGGUGCCCUUUGACAUGGGUGUAUUUUUUUAAUCGUACAAUCCUUUUGACAUGGGAUGUAUUUUGUUAAUCGUACAAUCUUAGGUUAUGGCUUCUAACUUAGCUUUGCACUGUGAAAUAAUUUGGCUAAUUUUAACUAAGAUUUUGUAAAUUAUGGAGAUCUACUAAGAAGCAGGAUUUUGUAAAUUAAGCCAACUCGCAAUUUUGUGUCUGCCAAGCAAGAGCAGUUUCUCAAGCAUUUUGUGUAUGCCAACACGUAAUUUUGUGUAAAUUAUGUGCUUUAGGUUGGUCUACUGAGAAAAUGAUAUGUACUUUGGGGCGGUGCAUUCGUGCAGCGAGUGCCAUAAUUUUGUGUAAAUUAUGUGCUUUAGGUUGCUCGUAAUUUUGUGUAUGCCAAGCAAGAGCAGUUUCUCAAGCACUCAUCCUCACAUUGUUUCCAACUCGAAUUCGUAUCCACAAGUGCCCAUGAUGUGUUAGGAGUCCUCAUUUUAAGACCACCUUGCAGUGCCAUUCCACCACCCCCUAUUCACAUUCCAGUUUCCCCCUAUUCACAAUUGGUUAAUGUUAACUAGAAUUUUCAUUAGUUUCCCAACCAAAAAAAAAAU